AAGUCAUUAAAUGUAAAACUUUUGUAAAACUAGAAUAAUUUAAAUAAAAAUUUAAAAAAUUGAGAGAGUUUUAAUGAAAAAUUUUAAAAUGUGUAGUUUGAGAUUAUUUUGAGAGUGUUUUGUGUUUUAGUAUAUUUUCAUCUUUAUGAUGUAUUUAAUUAUGGGCAUUUUCUUUAUAAUUAAUUCGAGAGGAAGGGAGAAGGGCGAGAGGGCUAUUUUAUAUGAUGUUUUAUUGAAUUACCGAGGAGGUGCUGGAAAAAGUUAAAUUAUAUUUUACCGAAAAAAUAUAAAUUAUAUUCUGUCAAAGAAGCCAGUAAAGUUUAAAUUUUACAAAAUCAUACCUUACAUGAGUAUAGAAUUAUUUUAUAUAAUCCUCCAAUUUUUAGGUAAAAAUUUGUAAAUUAUGAAACGCUGAAAAUGAUCAAACUUUUUCUUAAAAUUACUCUU
rnacentral:lncRNA from 1 species